rnacentral:lncRNA from 1 species
GCUGCCUGAGGUCACGAAAGCUGCUUCUGGAUCACAGGACAGGGUCUAUUUUGAGCAAAUGAGGUCAAUGAAGUUGCGGGGAGAAGCGCGCGGCGUUGCCCGUGACUUCCGCACGUGGGGGAUUUUUCCACCAAGAGAAGAAGUUUGGCUUUAGGGAUGAGAAAUGCAGAAGGACACCAGGUAAGAGAAAGAACCCGCAUUUUAGGACCCAUAACCUAGAAAGCGGCCAAGGGAGGGUGGUGCCGUGAGAGAUGCCCUGGAGGAAGGGUGCCUUCUGGAAAAGGGCGCCGUACCAGGGAAGCGUGCAGAAGAUAAGGCCGCCCUCCUGUAAUUUUAUGUUCCCUCUGAGCCCAGCGACAGACCGCUGCUCUGCUCAGAGACAGAAAGAUGUAACAAAGGGGAAUUGUCAGGGCUGGAAUUCCCCCAGUAAAGCCUUUCCAUAUUUAAGAAUUAUUAAGGAUAUGGUGUAACGGCUGGUGGUGUGACAUUCUUGCGAACUGUCUCUUCUUUCCAAGUCCUUUGCAAGGCAGGGAUGGGGUUCCUGGGACGGGAGCCAUCUGAAAUCCUAACACACUGAACCGGACUUUUCCCUCGAACAGCAGCUUGAUGUUCUGAAGUGUCACAAGCUUCGCCGGCAUCAUUUCAUGGCCGAAACCUCCUGGAAACAUACAACUCCCAUUAUUUUCUCAAUGAAAAGUGCUACCCCUUGAAAAAAGUGCCAGGUCCAAACAGUUUCAUGGGUAGUUCCCUUUCAAACCUCAAGGAUAGUGCCAGUAUGAUUUAAACCAUUACAGAGCUUUGAUAAGGCUUCUUUUUUGUAAAGUCAGCCAAACUACAGCAUCAAAAUGUGAUGUGCACACGGUACCUGCACAAAUGCACACACACACAUGGACACCCCCCCCACACACACACACUUAAAACUCAGACUCACCCAGGAGUUUCCACUGUGGCUCAGUGGGUUAUGAACCAGACUAGUACCCAUGAGGAUGUGGGUUCGGUUCCCGGCCUCACUCGGUGGUUAAGGAUCAGGUGUGUCUGUGACUGUGGUGUAGGCCAACAGCUGCAGCUCCAAAAGACCCCUAGCCUGGGACCUUCCUAUGCCGAGGGUUUGGCCCUAAAAAAGCAAAAACAAAAGCAAAAGCAAGCUAAACUCAGACUCAUCGAGGUGCAUAGAUUUAUGUGAAUACGUAAAACGCUACUUAAAACAACAGCAAAUAGAAUGAAGGAGCAUCUAAAGUAUGAUUGCCCAUGUGACCAAACGUGAUAAGCCAGGGACACAAAGAACGCUUCUAAUUAAAAUCCAUGCAAUAUACAGGGAUUGGAGGAUAAGGAAGAGCUUUUUGAUGUGGGAACACACUCUAGGGCUUUUUAAUUACUUGGCAAGGACCCUAAAGAGGGAGGUGAGGUUGCAAGUUUAGCUCUUGAAAACUUUUCUUAAAAAAUAUAUUUUGGUGGGCAUUUGUUUUGUAUUAAUAUAUAAUACAAUGUGUCCACCUCAAUAUUAAGAUAAGCAACUCAAUUAAAAAUCUCAGGCAUUUCCGUCGUGGUUCAGCAGUAACGAACCCAACUAGCACCCAUGAGGUUGCAGGUUCGAUCCCUGGCCUUGCUCAGUGAGUUAAGGAUCUGGCGUUGCCUUGAGCUGUGGUGUAGGUCAAAGAUGUGGCUCAGAUCUGGUGUUGCCGUGAACUGCGGUGUAGCACCAAUUCAACCCCCAGCCUGGGAAAUUAUGUAUGCAGCGGGUGCGGCCCUAAAAAGAAGAAAAAAUAAAAUAAAAUCCCAGAGGAUUGUAUAGACACUCUAUAAAGAAUAUGUACAGAUGAUCAAGAGGCAGGUGAAAAGACGCCCAGCAUCACUCGUCAUGGGGGAAGUGCAAAUCAAAACUGCCAUGAACCACGACAUACACCGCAUUAGAGGGUCUGAAAUCCUGGUUUCCCCACCUCUCUUUCAAGUCUCUUCCUCCCUUCAUCCCUGAUAACCACACAUCUUGUUUCUGUCUCUAGAGAGUAGCUUACCUUUGAUAGAAUGUUGUAUAAGUGUAUAUUAUUUAAUCCUUCGUGUCUGGUUUCUGUUGCUCAGCAAAAUGAUUUUGAGGUUCUCACACAUCGUCACAUGCAUCAGUGGUUUAAUCCCUUUUAUUGGUGAGUGUUGGUAUCCCCGUUGCAUGGAAAUACCCGUAUCUGUUCAUCUUGCUGAUGGGUGUUUGGGAUGUUUCCUGUUCAGGUUUAAAAUGAAUAAAGUUGCUGUGAACGUUUAUGUACA